UACGUAGGAGGCAAGCGUUGUCCGGAGGUACUGGGCGGAAAGCGCACGCAGGCGGGUCAGUCAGUCUGUAGGGACAGGGCACAGCUCAACUGUGUCAGGCUUACGGAAACUGCUGAACUUGAGGGCUUCAGAGGGAUGGGGAAUUCCGGGUGGAGUGGUGAAAUGCGUAGAGAUCCGGAAGAACACCAAAGGCGAAGGCAGUGUCCUGGGGAGUACCUGACGCUCAGGUGCGAAAGCCAGGGGAGCGAACGGG
rnacentral:rRNA from 1 species